UGGGGAAUUUUGGACAAUGGGCGCAAGCCUGAUCCAGCAAUGCCGCGUGCAGGAUGAAUGCCUUCGGGUUGUAAACUGCUUUUGUACGGAGCGAAAAGGUCUGCCCUAAUACGGUGGGCUCAUGACGGUACCGUAAGAAUAAGCACCGGCUAACUACGUGCCAGCAGCCGCGGUAAUACGUAGGGUGCGAGCGUUAAUCGGAAUUACUGGGCGUAAAGCGUGCGCAGGCGGUUAUGCAAGACAGAUGUGAAAUCCCCGGGCUCAAACUGUGAACUGCAUUUGUGAAUGCAUAGCUGGAGUGCGGCAGAGGGGGAUGGAAUUCCGCGUGUAGCAGUGAAAUGCGUAGAUAUGCGGAGGAACACCGAUGGCGAAGGCAGCUUACUAUGGUUUUAUUGACGCUGAGGCACGAAAGCGUGGGGAUAAAACA
rnacentral:rRNA from 1 species